rnacentral:rRNA from 1 species
CUGCCCUACGGGACGCAGCAGUAGGGAAUUUUCGUCAAUGGGCGCAAGCCUGAACGAGCGAUGCCGCGUGAGUGAGGAAGGCCUUCGGGUCGUAAAGCUCUGUUGCGGGGGAAAAAAGGCAGCAUCAGGAAAUGGGUGCUGACUGAUGGUGCCCCGCCAGAAAGUCACGGCUAACUACGUGCCAGCAGCCGCGGUAAUACGUAGGUGGCGAGCGUUAUCCGGAAUGAUUGGGCGUAAAGGGUGGGCAGUCGGUCCUGCAAGCCU